UACCUGCAGCUCAAGUGGUGAUCAUUAUUAUUGGGCCUAAAACGUCCGUAGCCGGUUUAGUAAAUGUCUGGGUAAAUCGUGUAGCUUAACUAUACGACUUCCGGGUAGACUGCUAAACUUGAGACCGGGAGAAGCUAGAGGUACUCCUGGGGUAGAGGUGAAAUUCUGUAAUCCUAGGGGGACCACCAGUGGCGAAGGCGUCUAGCUAGAACGGGUCUGACGGUGAGGGACGAAGCCCUGGGGCACAAACCGGAUUAGAUACCCUGGUAGUCCAGGGUGUAAACGCUGCUUGCUUGAUGUUAGUUGGGCUCCGAGCCCAACUAGUGUCGGAGAGAAGUUGUUAAGCAAGCUGCCUGGGAAGUACGGUCGCAAGGCUGAAACUUAAAGGAAUUGGCGGGGGAGCACAGCAACGGGUGGAGCGUGCGGUUU
rnacentral:rRNA from 1 species